AAGUCGUAACAAGGUAACCGUAGGUGAACCUGCGGUUGGAUCAUUACUGAUUCGUAAAAUGCUUUUGUGUAAAAUGUGUUGUUGUUGGGUUUUUUCCUUUUUGUGUUAAAAAACUUGAAGGGAAGGCCUGGCCGCACUCACAAAGACUAAAGCCGUUUACCAUCCUGUUUUUGCUUUGUAUUGUUUGGUAUCUGAGAUGAAAAGGACGGACCGCCCCUUAAAAAGGCUUGUGUCCAACCUUUGAGUUUCGUUUGUCAAUGUGCAAGGACCCUGUUGGUUCUUUGUGUGGUGAUCUUUUUU
rnacentral:misc_RNA from 1 species